rnacentral:rRNA from 2 species
CNAGUCGAGCGGUAGCACAGGGAGCUUGCUCCUGGGUGACGAGCGGCGGACGGGUGAGUAAUGUCUGGGAAACUGCCUGAUGGAGGGGGAUAACUACUGGAAACGGUAGCUAAUACCGCAUAACGUCGCAAGACCAAAGAGGGGGACCUUCGGGCCUCUUGCCAUCAGAUGUGCCCAGAUGGGAUUAGCUAGUAGGUGGGGUAAUGGCUCACCUAGGCGACGAUCCCUAGCUGGUCUGAGAGGAUGACCAGCCACACUGGAACUGAGACACGGUCCAGACUCCUACGGGAGGCAGCAGUGGGGAAUAUUGCACAAUGGGCGCAAGCCUGAUGCAGCCAUGCCGCGUGUAUGAAGAAGGCCUUCGGGUUGUAAAGUACUUUCAGCGGGGAGGAAGGUGUUGAGGUUAAUAACCUCAGCAAUUGACGUUACCCGCAGAAGAAGCACCGGCUAACUCCGUGCCAGCAGCCGCGGUAAUACGGAGGGUGCAAGCGUUAAUCGGAAUUACUGGGCGUAAAGCGCACGCAGGCGGUCUGUCAAGUCGGAUGUGAAAUCCCCGGGCUCAACCUGGGAACUGCAUCCGAAACUGGCAGGCUAGAGUCUUGUAGAGGGGGGUAGAAUUCCAGGUGUAGCGGUGAAAUGCGUAGAGAUCUGGAGGAAUACCGGUGGCGAANGCGGCCCCCUGGACAAAGACUGACGCUCNNNGCNAAAAGCGUGGGGAGCNAACNGGAUUAGAUACCCUGGUAGUCCACGCCGUANCGAUGUCGACUUGGNNNUGUGCCCUUGAGNGNGGCUUCCGGANCUAAC